rnacentral:rRNA from 1 species
AGUGAACGCUGGCGGUAGGCCUAACACAUGCAAGUCGAACGGCAGCACAGUAAGAGCUUGCUCUUACGGGUGGCGAGUGGCGGACGGGUGAGGAAUACAUCGGAAUCUACUUUUUCGUGGGGGAUAACGUAGGGAAACUUACGCUAAUACCGCAUAUGACCUACGGGUGAAAGCAGGGGAUCUUCGGACCUUGCGCGUUUGAAUGAGCCGAUGUCGGAUUAGCUAGUUGGCGGGGUAAAGGCCCACCAAGGCGACGAUCCGUAGCUGGUCUGAGAGGAUGAUCAGCCACACUGGAACUGAGACACGGUCCAGACUCCUACGGGAGGCAGCAGUGGGGAAUAUUGGACAAUGGGCGCAAGCCUGAUCCAGCCAUACCGCGUGGGUGAAGAAGGCCUUCGGGUUGUAAAGCCCUUUUGUUGGGGAAGAAAAGCAGCAGGUUAAUACCCCGCUGUUCUGACGGUACCCAAAGAAUAAGCACCGGCUAACUUCGUG